rnacentral:rRNA from 1 species
AGUGAACGCUGGCGGUAGGCCUAACACAUGCAAGUCGAACGGCAGCACAGGAGAGCUUGCUCUCUGGGUGGCGAGUGGCGGACGGGUGAGGAAUACAUCGGAAUCUACUCUGUCGUGGGGGAUAACGUAGGGAAACUUACGCUAAUACCGCAUACGACCUACGGGUGAAAGCAGGGGACCUUCCGGCCUUGCGCGAUUGAAUGAGCCGAUGUCGGAUUAGCUAGUUGGCGGGGUAAAGGCCCACCAAGGCGACGAUCAGUAGCUGGUCUGAGAGGAUGAUCAGCCACACUGGAACUGAGACACGGUCCAGACUCCUGCGGGAGGCAGCAGUGGGGAAUAUUGGACAAUGGGCGCAAGCCUGAUCCAGCCAUACCGCGUGGGUGAAGAAGGCCUUCGGGUUGUAAAGCCCUUUUGUUGGGAAAGAAAUCCAGCUGGCUAAUACCCGGUUGGGAUGACGGUACCCAAAGAAUAAGCACCGGCUAACUUCGUGCCAGCCGCCGCCGUAA